AGAGCAAUACCAGGUUUUAAUGAAUGCCCCUUGAAGGCAUCUUCUUUCCUACCAUUCCCGAUGUACCAAGGAGGAAACCAAAGCAAGGCAAAGGGCAGGGGUUGCCCAAGAUCACACAAGCAAGUGAGGGCCAAAGGUGGUGCCGGAAUUCACAGCUGCGGAAACCGUAUCUCCACCUUCUCUGUCUGGCACCUUGGAGAAAUCUGUUGAAGUUGACAGAACCAAGCACUUCCUCCUUUGGGGAGUAACAAGGAAACACAAUGUAUUUUCUGUUUCUUCCUUCCCAAGUGUAUGUUGAAAUACGGUCUAAAACACAAAGCCCAGACGAAUCAACUUCUUCCCCGAGUCCUCCCACAUAGCGAUUAGAGUAGAAUUUGCAGCAGCUUUUGAUGCACAGAACUUGUCUUGGGAAGAAUAAAAUGAGACACUGUGACCUUCACUUGACCUUAACAGAGAAAACAAAAUGUCCUCCUGCAGAGGCAUGUGAGAGGGUUUAUAGCAGAGUGGACUGCCCUGCUUUAUUAGGGAGGCUGAUUGGUCUUCUCACUGAACACCACCAUGUUAGUUCCUCUGGGCAAUGGGGACGGACGUCUUGUCUGUUGGCUGAAUCUGCUAAAAGCAAAAGUAGAAAGUGUUUGAGGGUUUUCCUUUCACCGUGUCUUCGGUCCCCAGUGCUACCUACCCCUACCACCAGCAGCGCCUUGAACCUCCGUCUGUUGGGAAUGCAACCUUUGCUGAAGGUAAAAUGCAGGUACCCAGAGACAGCAUGGGG
rnacentral:lncRNA from 1 species